rnacentral:lncRNA from 1 species
ACUUGAACACGUAAAAAUUUUGCGAAUGCACAUAUACUCAUACAUAAAUAAUACAACAAUAAUACAUAAAUAAUACAACAAUAAUANNNNNNNNNNAUAAUACAACAAUAAUACAUAAAUAAUACAACAAUAAUACAUAAAUACACGCAAACAAAAAAAAAAAAUGCAUAAACAGAUUACAGCGUAUUAUUUCAAAACAUCUCAUUUCAAUUAUACAUAUACAUAUAUACAUAUAUUUUUUUUAUGGUAAUUUUAGCGAAUUAAGCAAUGUAAAUCAAUCAGAAGAAUUAAUCAGACUUCAAAAAGAAAAUGAAAAAUUAAGAAAUAAAAUAGAAUCUGAUACAAAUAAAGAAUCAAAGAGAGUGAAAGAACUUGAAAAAGAACUCAAGGAUUUGAAAGAAAUAAAUAACAAUUUAAAGAAUGAAGUAUUAAAAGACACAAAUAAUAACAACGCUCAAACUAAUCCACAACAGGAGAAAUAUGAAGCACAAAAUGAAAAAAUCAUCAAAUUAGAAGCUGAGCUAUUAAUUGAAAAAAAAAAUAGUACAAUUAUUGAAGAAACGACUAAAAAUAAAUUAACAAAGGAAUUUAAUGCUGCAUUGCAAAUUUUUAAAGAACAAUUACAAAUUAGGGAAAAGGAAACUGAAUAUUACAAAGAAACAAUGUAUUGCAAAAAAAUAAAAAAAUAAAUAAAACUCAGAUUGAUACUAAAUGCAUGCGUACGUUGGUCUAAUACAUGCUUAUUUUUUUUGUUUUUUUUUUUACUUUUUAGGAAAACACAGAUAGAUACUUUUAAAGACGAACAAAAAUUAUUAAGCGAUAUUAUUCACAACUUAGGCCUAAAAUAUAAACAAUUACAAACUUAUAAUCUUUGUUUAAAGAAUGAAAUUACAGGAAUUAAAUUAAGGUAUUAUUUCACAUUUUAUUAUUAUAUUUUAUUUUUUUUUACUUGUUAAACACAUAAAAUGCUUCGUACAUAUAAACAUUUUCUCUAUGACAUAUUAUUUUAUUUUGUUUUUUUUUUAAUAUAUAUAGAACCAAAGCUUGUACAAAUUCCGACAACAAAUAAAAUCCCCGUUUUAUACA